rnacentral:rRNA from 1 species
CUUGCUGCAUGCUUUAUACAUGCAAGUCGAACGAAGGCCCUAGCUUGCUAGGUGUCCUUAGUGGCGCACGGGUGAGUAACACGUGGGAACAUACCUUAUAGUACGGAAUAACUGCGGGAAACUGUAGCUAAUACCGUAUAUUCCAGCAAUGGGAAAGAUUUAUCGCUAUAAGAUUGGCCCGCGCAAGAUUAGCUUGUUGGUGAGGUAAAAGCUCACCAAGGCUUCGAUCUUUAGCUGGUUUGAGAGGAUGAUCAGCCACACUGGGACUGAGACACGGCCCAGACUCCUACGGGAGGCAGCAGUAGGGAAUAUUGGACAAUGGGGGCAACCCUGAUCCAGCAAUGCAGCGUGAGUGACGAAGGCCUUAGGGUUGUAAAACUCUUUCAUCGGUGAGGAUAAUGACAGUAGCCGAAGAAGAAGGACCGGCUAAU